AGUGCUUGCACUCUGAGUGGCGCACGGCUGAGUAUUACCUGGGAACGUACCCUCCGGUGGGGGAUAACGCCGCGAAAGCGACGCUAAUCCCGCAUAUCUUUCGCGAAAGAAAGCGAGCAAUCGCGCCGGGGGAGCGGCCCGCGGCCCAUCAGGUCGUUGGCGGGGUAACGGCCCACCAAGCCACUGACGGGUAGCUGGUCUGUGAGGACAGACAGCCAGACUGGGACUGAGAAACGGCCCAGACUCCUACGGGAGGCAGCAGUGGG
rnacentral:rRNA from 1 species